GUCUGUGCAAACGUGUUUGCAAUUUGAAUUUAUCUAUUUACAUUUAGAAAGCUAAAUUAAAGUUUGUUAACUUUUUUAAAUUUUAUGGUUUUCUUCGUCACUUUCAGUGAAUUAUGAAUUCUCUAAGUAAUGCUUUUCGAAUAAGUUCCUGUGUCUUUGGAGGAUACAAAAAUAUCCUCCCUGGAAGAUCGACAUGGUUGCGUCCUAUACAAAUAUGCUCCUAUAAGAAAACAGCGGAAGAACGUCUGGGCAUAGAAAAACCUAAACGACCUUUAACACCGUUCUUUAAAUUCAUGGCUCAAAUGAGACCAGCCCUUUUAGCAAAGAAUCCUAGCAUUUCAUCCAAAGAAGCAAUAAGUUGGACUUCAAAACACUGGCAACAGUUAGAUAUAGAGACCAAAACACAAAUGACUAAAGAAUAUGAGAAGGAUCUUGAAGAUUACAAAAAAAUUAAAGAAUUAUAUCAAUCAUCGCUCACUGAACAGCAAAAGGAAGAUAUUAAGAAACUAAAGGAGGAAAUGGCAGCUGCCAAGGAAAAGCGAAAAUUAAAAGCUGAAUAUAAAGAAUUAGGGCGUCCUAAAAAAUCAAUGUCUUCGUAUAUCCUGUAUAUGAUGUCUAGAAAAGAUACCUCGCAGGCUAACGACUUUAAGAGUUAUCAAGAAAAAGUUAAAGCUGACUGGCUUCAGCUUCCAGAAAAUGAAAGAAAAAAGUAUGAAAAGCAAGCACAAGAGCAAAUGAAUAAAUACAAGAAAGAUUUAGAAGGGUGGGAAAUGAAAAUGAUUUCCAUUGGUCGUUCUGAUCUUGUGCGUCAGAAACCAACUCCCAAAAAGAGGUCAAAAACUAUUAAGAAUGAAUAGGGACUCGGGUGCUCUGACAAUUUAACUGAUAAGUUAAAAGACAGUAAUAAGUACAAUGAUCUAGAAACUAUAUCUUGUUUAAGUGAUAAAGUUAGCUCUAUGGAAAAACCAAAUAGUAUUACCAACAGUAAAACAGAACAGUGUCAGAGCACGGGUGCCAAAAAUAAUUACAAGCAGACUGAACCGAAUUCAAAUCUUUGAAGAAUUAAAAAAAAACUCAAGACAACUGUGAAAACCAAUAUUUAUUCUGAAAUUUAUUAUAUACAAUUUACAAACAUGAUCUCUACACAAACAGUUACAAUAAUUAUUCCUUAUUUGUAUACAUUUUUAAACAAAAUAUUAAAGGUGGUAUUAUAACAA